rnacentral:lncRNA from 1 species
GAGCGGAGGGGAGGAAGCCAGCGGAUGCUUGCUGGAGCCUGGAGGUAGGCAAGGGGGUGGGAUCCUGAUUGCAGCGCUCAGCCCAGAUUCCAAAAGGGUGUCUGGUUUCAUAGAGCUGAGGUAUUCUCCCCCCUUCAUUUCCUAUCGCACCCUCCCCUUUUUGGAUUCAGGCUCAAGAACAACCAGAUUCACAGCCCUCAAGGUGGACUGCCAUCAGCCACUCAUUGCCUAAAUGGCUUGCUCUCUUCAUUUGAUUGUGUAGCUUCUCCAGGAAGUUGAUAGCUUGCAGAUUUAGAGAUGGUCCAACUUGAUUUUAUUCGGUUUCUUAAAGGGUGUGUUUCCUGUGGGCAAGAAUUAUGGGAAAUGAAUGUCAGUGUCAAAUACAACUGCAACAGCUGCUUGGAAAUCACCUCCUUUCUCCCCACCCCCAAAAGUUUUCCCAAUGCAAGUUUUCUUAAUGCCCUGAAGUAGUGCAUGGAGACUUGGCUUGUUUCAAUGUAUGUAAACUGGGGAGAAGGCUCCUCUGCUAUUUUUAAAAUGCAAGCUAUCAAGGGCAUUGUAGUUUUUUCUUUCUUUUAUUCCUUAUGUUGCCACUAUAACAAAGCACUGUGAGUGUAGAGAGAAUGGAACACUUUAAAUCUGUGGGAAUGAUGAAAGACUUUGCUGUUCCCAGUCUUGCAUGAAGUUUUUAUUUAAAUACCUGAUCUUUUUUUUUUAGUUAAAAGAGGUAAUUCGAGUAAGACUGGAUGAAUAUUGUGGGUACAAUUCAGCACGGUAAGACUUUGUAUAUAGUGUUUAUAAUUGAUCCCUAUACUUGCAUGUUACCUAAUGGCAGAAACAGCAUGAAAUGACAGAAACAGCCUUGAUUUUUUUGGACUGUGGGAGAAAUUUUUAAAAUCAAUAUUGAAUUUUAUGUGGCAAGAAUAUAGAUGCAUUGAUGAAAACAGAAAGGCAAGUUAACUUUAAGAGGGUGGUUUAUUGAAAAUCGCUUCCUGAGAUUUCAUAUCUACAUAUGGUAAUCAGUGAAAUAAAUGAACCAGUUAGUAUUCCGAGCUUGCAAUACUUGGCUCUGUAGAAAGACGGCUGUUACAUUUCAUUUCCAAAUUCAUUUGUGAAAAUAGAAUAAUGUUGGAUGGGUUUACUAACUUCCUCACAUGUGUGUGCUAUAGAUUGAGAAUGUCCUACAGAGCAGAGAGAGACAAGGUCCAAGAUCUGGCCUCAUUACACAAUGCCAUCUCUCCACUACAAGGCAUCCUUCACAUAAGCUGCAACUAGUGGAAUCUGGAGCUCCUUCCUCUCCUACUCUGUAUACAUGUAGCUUCCAAUUUGGACCUAAAUCUCCCUGCAAUGGACCUUUUCACUCAUAUUCUUCCUCAUAGGACAGCUAUGAGUUGGGGUUGUCCUGAAUUGACGUAAGUUAAUACCCCAAUAAUGAAUUUUAUAGUUGUUGGGCAUCCUGCCAAGCCAGGUGUGGAGAGAGAGGGUACGUUGGAGUCGGGGCUAGAGUAAAUCAUCUGAAGUGGUGAGAUGGUAGCUGGGAACAUGGGCUGUACUUAAGGAGAAAUGAGGAAGUGUGGAAGGGAAGCAAUAAAACUAAAAUCUGAAGGGUGCGUGUGUGUUCAUGCUCCCAGAGAGACGGAUUAUUUUCAGUAGGAAUCAGCCCUAUAUUUGUGCAUGAGUGAGUUUAUCUCAAAGGUCAGACUCCUUGCUUAAUAAAAGCUUUAAAAAGAAUUGAGAAUCCCAAGAAAAUAAACAGCUCUCAUUUGUAGUUAUUGACUUUCAAAUAAACUCUUCAGUUAUAAGGUCUGAAACAGUUUUUUUCUCAAAUUUUAGUGCCUAAGAAUGCAAAACAAUUGAGAUUUAUGACCUCUAACACAAAAGAAAUUGGUUCAAGAGGAUCCAAUUAAGUGCAAGUUUAACACCAUGGGGGAUUCCAGUUCUCCUAGUUCAAAAAUUACCCUGUGAAAAAUACAGUCUUGGUGCUGAUGAGCUUGCUUGUGUUGGGGAGAGUGGUGUAACUCAUAUUAAUCUAAAAACUUUUCAUAGUAUUUAUCUUUUGAAUUUUCGUUGUUUUUCAAGAUCAUUGCCAUUAUUGUUAUUAUCAUGUCUGUCUUGUUAGUUGAUGGCUAUUCUCAAAUACCAAACUUCUAUCAUUUGUACAUUUAAAGUGCUGGAUGGUGGCCAUUUGAGAGUAAAACCAGAAGGCACUAAAAAUAAGGUUAUGGAAAUGCUUUAUGAUUAUUGAGCAUUAAUUCAUUUUAAAAAAUCAAUUUGUUGAUUGGUUGGUUAGAGGAUAGCUUUAAAUAAACAUUAUGAUUAUCUUUUCCUCAUUGAAUGGAGGACAAUUUUUAAAAGAUUUAAAAUCUUUAAAAGAGUUUAAUGUGCUAGUCUUUGUUUUUCAUAUAUUUACAUAUUUAUAUUUUUCCUAAUAGUGCAUAGUAAUUUAAGUAGUUUACCUGAAAUUAUGAAAAGAUAAACUUAAAAAUCUCUAAAUCAUUUUUUCUGCUAACUCUCUUUGUUUUCAUUAAUAAAACUUCACAAAUAUUUCAUAAAAGUAAAGCAAGUGAUUGCUGAAAUCCUGAAGCCAGUGGUAAAAUUUGUCAUUUCUUUUGGGUCUUAUUUUGCAUCUGAAAUUUCAUUUCAUGAAAUUCUUAAUUUCCCUCAUUCUUUCCAGGCAAAGGCAACUGGUCAUGCAUUGUUGGGGGUCUUCAAAACGUGUGGUGUCCAUUGACAUUCUGGUACCAGUGUUCCAGUUUCUUUGUUUUAUAGUAUUUUCUUAUAUAGUGCUUACUUGUUAAGAACAUGUGUUCACAAUAGUAAGCAUUUAGAGCUUUUUCUUACUUAAAAGCUUUGCACAAAACAGCACAGCAUCGAAUACGGAGAGGAAGAGUAUAUUGUAUUUCUUAAUUUUUUUAAAAAAGACACUUUAUUCAACUACAUUUAUGUAGACUACUAUUUUAAACUACAUGCAUUUUGAAAUUUUUUAAAAAUGCAAGUUGCGUGCUUUAAGAAAAUUUGACCUCUCAAGUAAUAUAAGGCACAGAUUAAUGUGAUGUAUACACUAAUUUUUAGGUUGAGUUUUGUUUUGUUUUUGUGGAAACUCCAACAACCUCUUUAGAUAUUUGGUUGACAACACUCUAAGUAGUGGCAAAUCUUGGAAGGAAAUCACAGAACUAGUUUAAGCCUAGCAAAGUAACCUUAACCUAAAAAGGAAUGAUUUGCUUUAGAGUAAUCCCAAAUAACAGGUGUUAUGAUUGAUAUAUUGAGGUUAAAACAUUGUGCCACAUGGUGCAGGAUUCCUGCCACAUUUUACAUCUUAUAUAAAAUAAUGACAUCAUUGUUAGCACAGACAAUCCAUUUCUAUGUAUAAAAUAUAUAGAUUUUUGCUUGAAAGUUCUAAAAACUUCUUUUUCUAUCAUUUAUUUUCCUUUCCCCAAGGGAUGAGAGAGCGAGAGACCCAUGUGGUGGAGCUGUUAUGAUGAAUAAUACUCUGCAGAUUCUACCCUUAAACCACCUUUAGCUACUAUCUGGACCAGUGGGAACACUGAAUUUUCUUUUAAUGAUAAAUUUUCUGAUCAGUUUUCCCAAACUAAUAUACUGCCUAUUAGAAAGUCUUUGUGUCCAUUAUGGCCAAUUUGGAAAAAAACAAACAACAAAAAAAACCAAAAAUAACAAUUUCCCAUUCUCUGUCCAAAUAAACCUAGAAGCCAUGACUCAUCUUUUCUUCACAUUGCUACUCUUCUGUGCUCUGAUAAAUCACAUAUCUGAGAACAUAUUUUCUCUUAAGAUUUCACAAAUACCAGAUAAAUACAUUUUUUCAUCAAUGUUAUAUCUACUUUCUUUUCUUUUCUUUUCUUUUUUCUUUUUAGGGCCACACCCAUGGCGUUUGGAGCUUCCCAGGCUAGGGGUCUAAUUGGAGCUACAGCUGCAGGCCUACACCACAGCCACAGCAAUGCCAGAUCCAAGACACUUCUGUGACUUACACCACAGCUCACGGCAACACCAGAUCCUUAACCCACUGAGCUAGGCCAGGGAUUGAACCCGCAACCUCAUGGUUCCUAGUCAGAUUCUUUUCUGCUCUGCCACAAUGGGAACCAAACAAUGUUAUACCUAUUCUUAUCUCUGUUCUGUGUUCUUAAAACCAGAGUUGUUCUGCUUCCUUUUGUGUUAACACUAAAUUCCUCCUUGCUACUUGAAAAAAAUCCUUUCACUCUAAGGGAGUGAUUUAACAGAUUCCUUAACAAGUUCCUUUGCAUUUUAAUAGAGGUCCACCAGAGAAAAGCAAUUCCUAACACAUGUUUCCAGUGAAGGUUUCAAGGUCCUUAGACAAAAAACUCUAUACAUUAAAGUCUCAGAAACCAGAGUAUAUGUACAUAUAUAUAUAUCUCCAGCUCAACCUGUUAGGAGAUCUGCUGGUCUCUGCUGUUGAAUAUCUCAUCUUUGGGGUGCCAAAGCAUACCCAAAGCCUUCAGGUACAAAUAAAAAACAAUAGUUUGAGUACAUAAAUGAUAGGUGGACAAGGAGAAUAGAACAUUAUUUUUAAUAUAUCAAUGGAAUCCAGGGUCUAGAGACAUAUCAGAAAAGUGGACCACAUGUCAGAUUCUCAGUCUUUCUUGUUUUGCCACUGGCAAGGUUUACAAGUUGGAUCAGGUUAGAAGACAGAAUUGUGGUACAGAGAAUAAAUCCAAGAGGCAGGAGAAAUCCCAGUCCAUAUUAUCUCUGGGAGUGGAGAGAGGACAUUUGCCUUACUGUUUCUUGCAGUUCUUCUUUCAUCAGACAAUUGGAGAAAUUGUUUUAUGGGGUGCCAACUAAAAGUUUGAUUCCUGGUAAAAGACAGUCUUUUUAAAAUAUUCUUAAAACUACAACAUAUUUGUCUUCUAAGAAUUUUAUCUCCUGGAGUACUUAUAGAGCAAAAUGGCCAUGGUAUGUCAAUCACAUAAUUUAAGUAAAAUGACUUACAAUUUAUGUAAAAAUACUCUCACACCGAAUUGUUUCUGGAGUAUUCUACAGCUGCAUAAAAUAGGGUGAAAUGGACAUAUUGGCUUAUGUUUUAAAGAUGAAUUAAACAUUAGAAAUGGUAUAUGUGACUUUAAAUGUUUUGUAAUUUUCCUACAGUUUUUAUUUGUGAAUUACACAUUGAAGUCUCCACCUCUUUUUUAGCAUUGGAUUCUUUCAGGUGUGAAACAAGGAAGAGAAAGGAAGUACAACUACCACUUUAGACUUAAGAUAUUUAACUAUGAAUCAU